GUUCCUACGGGGGGCAGCAGUGAGGAAUAUUGGUCAAUGGACGAGAGUCUGAACCAGCCAAGUAGCGUGAAGGAUGACUGCCCUAUGGGUUGUAAACUUCUUUUAUAUGAGAAUAAAAUGUUCCACGUGUGGGAUUUUGUAUGUACCAUAUGAAUAAGGAUCGGCUAACUCCGUGCCAGCAGCCGUGGUAAUACGGAGGAUGCGAGCGUUAUCCGGAUUUAUUGGGUUUAAAGGGUGCGUAGGCGGAGUGUCAAGUCAGCGGUAAAAUUUCGGGGCUCAACCCCGUCGUGCCGUUGAAACUGACG
rnacentral:rRNA from 1 species